GACGAACGCUGGCGGCGUGCUUAACACAUGCAAGUCGAACGGAAAGGCCCUGCUUUUGUGGGGUGCUCGAGUGGCGAACGGGUGAGUAACACGUGAGUAACCUGCCCUUGACUUUGGGAUAACUUCAGGAAACUGGGGCUAAUACCGGAUAGGAGCUCCUGCUGCAUGGUGGGGGUUGGAAAGUUUCGGCGGUUGGGGAUGGACUCGCGGCUUAUCAGCUUGUUGGUGGGGUAGUGGCUUACCAAGGCUUUGACGGGUAGCCGGCCUGAGAGGGUGACCGGCCACAUUGGGACUGGGAUACGGCCCAGACUCCUACGGGAGGCAGCAGUGGGGAAUAUUGCACAAUGGGCGGAAGCAGGAUGCAGCAACGCCGCGUGCGGGAUGACGGCCUUCGGGUUGUAAACCGCUUUCGCCUGUGACGAAGCGUGAGUGACGGUAAUGGGUAAAGAAGCACCGGCUAACUACGUG
rnacentral:rRNA from 1 species